GGUCUGGUGGUGUAGCGGUUACAUAUCCUCAUAUGCUGAUAGGUUGUAAUUGUGCUCUGAGGAAGUCCCUCGUUCGACUCGGGGUCAGACCA